GUUGCGAGAACAAUACAGCUGCAGGCUACAGACGUCCUACUGAACAAGAGAAAGUUUGGUUUAAAGACACCAAUCAGCAAAAAAAUCCACCAGUUGAUCCAACAGAUGUUUUCCAGUCACAUUUUGCUAAAUUAUGUGAUAUUAUCAGUUCUGAUGUAGUGAAAGUUUGCAAUGAGUGUAAUUCAUGUCAACUGAUUGGGCAUGAAACUCGUUCUUUUGUCAUAACAGCCAAAGGAGCAUCAGAUCAUGACAAGGCGACGAGACUUCUUUAUGAUAUUGAAUUACAACUAAAGUCCUGUAUCAACAAGCAAGAAUAUUUGUCUAAUGUUAUUGAAGCUUUUUUGCGUGUUAAUAAUUCUAAUCUUAGUAUAGUUGCUGAAGAAUU